UGGAAGUAGCAGCAGGAGAAGUGGCUCCAAAAUUGCUCUGAUUCCUAGUACAUUUAUUGUUCCAAAUGAACCCAUCUGUCUUAAAUCUCUCCAGUGUUGGUUUGUCUCUGGGUAAUCCACACACCCACGCAAAACACAAGUAAACUUCCGCAAGCUUGGAACAGAAGGUCAGCGUUACAGUGUUCUCAGGGCAGAGGUAUGUGGUUUUGGUUUAAGCCUCCAUCUUAAAAGAUAUAUUCCUCAAAGGUGAACUUUAUACACAAUAGACCGCUGGAGAAGGACAGGCACUGUUACAGUGUUUGGGAGAUAAAAGGGAGCCUUAUCAGACACAAACGACUGCAGCAACAUGUUGGGAUACUGUAACGGGAUUCGUCCUCCUCUGACGAGGCGUAUGAGAGAUCGGACCAAUACGCAGCAUGGGCCAGGAAUGUCAGGGACUUCAUUGUUCGGGCUGUCCCCCUGAAAAUAAGUGACGCAAGACUGGACGAGGUGACUGGCUUCUAUCCCUGCCAUAGUUGUGCAGCAUGUAAGGUUCCUCUAACAAAGUGAGUGUUUUCAGCAGCUCUGCCAUUGGCAAACAAAAGGCUUACAUGCAGCUCUUCUAAUGUGAUAUUCCUUAUCUCCGGUCCAUGCAAUAAAUCCCCUAUUGCAAGUCAUUUCUCAGAGGCUGGUCACAGAGUCUCCUCCAUGUCCUUCUGUGCUAUACAACAGAUGAAACAUUCAAGUAGGGGUGGUAAAGCGUGUACUUAGUCUUCUCCAGACAGAAUGCAGGUGGAUGUUCUAUUUAAAAAAAUUAAAAAAAAACACCUCUUCACCCAUCAGGCAUGAAUGAAGAAUUGUUAUUGAAGGGUUUUAUGUAACUGGUAUAUUGCCUCAUUGGUGUUCAACACCCCCAUCUAGUGGUGUCUCUAGCACCCUACUCUAUAAUCCUGUGUUUUUUAUUCUGAGGAAUGUUCACAUAUAAAAGCAAUAACUGAUGAUAUUUCUCUGUCCGCUUUUGUAUCAUACAUUCUAUUCUACUAUGCACAGAUUUAUAGAUUACCUGAUGUGUUUUCUUGCUUGAUCAUGUGACAUGCAAUUACCCUUGAAAUAGAAGCCAGGUGUGUGUGCCGACAUUCACACCAAUGAUGCCCUGAGGCCGAAACGUUCGUGUUUUGGUUUCACCUUUCAUUUAUGCACUGAUUUUUUUGGGCACCAUGUUUUAAUAAACAGCUUUAUUUUGCAUUCAG